GAUGAACGCUAGCGGCAGGCUUAACACAUGCAAGUCGAGGGGUAUGGUUCUUCGGAACCAGAGACCGGCGCACGGAUGCGUAACGCGUAUGCAAUCUACCUUUUUACAGAGGGAUAGCCCAGAGAAAUUUGGAUUAAUACCUCAUAGUAUAGCUCUACCGCAUGGUAGUACUAUUAAAGUCACAACGGUAAAAGAUGAGC
rnacentral:rRNA from 1 species